UGAAUUACUAUAAGAGGUCCAGCCUGCCCAGUGACCCUGUUCAACGGCCGCGGUAUCCUAACCGUGCGAAGGUAGCGUAAUCACUUGUUCUCUAAAUGUGGACUAGUAUGAAUGGCAUCACGAAGGUUAUACUGUCUCCUUUUUCUAAUCAGUGAAACUAACCUCCCCGUGAAGAAGCGGGGAUGACGCUAUAAGACGAGAAGACCCUAUGGAGCUUAAAACAAUGCAGCAUCUGCCCCAUAAUACUGAAAUUUCCGAAUUUAAACUUCACUGGACAAUGUGACUGCAAGUUUUUGGUUGGGGUGACCACGGAGCAUAACAUAACCUCCACGCUGAAAGAAUACCUCUAAGCUAAGAACCACAAAUCUAAGCAUCAAUAAAUUGACAUCCAUUGACCCAAUAUACUUGAACAACGAACCAAGUUACCCUAGGGAUAACAGCGCAAUCUACUUCAAAAGCUCCUAUCGACAAGUGGGUUUACGACCUCGAUGUUGGAUCAGGGUUUCCCAGUGGUGCA
rnacentral:rRNA from 1 species